rnacentral:lncRNA from 1 species
UUUGCAAUUGGUCGUCGAAGCUUUGUCUCAACCGUUAUAAAUACAUACGGGUAAGGAAGAGGUUCGAGAAUGACUACCUCGAAUUACACUAUUAUUUAUAUCACUUUUUACACAUAAUUUUAGCUUGUUUAAUGGUUAAAUCAAAUCAUCUUAUUAUAUAAUUAUGUUUUCUUGCUUGAAUUAAUGAUUUAUGUUUUUUAGUAAUUUUUAUUACAUAUUAGAUGUUGUUCCAAUAGGGUCGGAAGCGUGUAAAUUAUUGUACUAAAAAAUCACACAAAGUUCAAUUCCCAGGGAAGAGAGGUGGAUCACAUGGAUCUCUUAAAUACCAAGUCUUUCCUUAGACAGAAUAUCCCUUCUAUAGUAAUUUAAUAGCACAAUUAAAUACUACUAUUAUACCCUCAAAUAUUGAAAGAAAAAUAGGACAAGAAAGAACACAAGAGUUUUAACGAGGUUCGGUAAAUUAUACCUACGUCCUCGGGCACUAACACCAGAUGAUAACUUUACUAUCUCCAAAGUAUUACAAACAAAUACAAUUCCUUAAGAAUUCUCAAAUGGGAGAAGAGAGAAAACUAAGAGAGAAAGAUUGGUUGGGAUGAAUUGAAAUGAGAAAUGAAAAAGCCUAUUUAUAGUUGAGGUUUAAGGACCAAACAAUAAAUAGCCCAUUAUCUCAAGGACCAAAAAAAAUUAUCCCUUGCCACUUUUCCAAAGUUGGUGGUUGUCAUUAUUGAUUGUCUCCCAUUAAUGUUAAUGGCAACCAUUAUUAAUUGUCUUCCAUUAAUGUUAACAAUCUCCACCUUGAAGAUUUGAUUAGUAUAAUCACAUCUUCACACACUUCCUUCAACUCCCCAAAUUCGAUAAAGCUAUCUUUUGUAGUGCCUACAAAUGCGCUCUCGAGCGCCAUACACCUGAAGGUGCUCAAAUUCUCAGGAUGUUAAUCAAGUUCAAACAAUGAUUAAACUUGAUUGUUGUUACCACCUUGGUCAUCAUAUCUGCGGGAUUAUCUGCUGUCGGAAUCUUCUGAAGUAGAAUUUUUCCUUUUUCAAAGACUUCCCGCACAAAGUGAUAUCUUACGUCGAUAUGCUUGGUUCUUGAAUGAUAGACUUGAUUUUUCGCUAAAUGAAUAGCGCUCUGACUGUCACAAUAUAAACUUAUGUGACUUUGAACAACUCCUAAGUCUUUCACAAUCCAUUAAGCCAAAUAGCCUCCUCAACAGCUUCUGUAACUGCCAUAUAUUCUGCCUCUGUAGUAGACACAGCUACUGUAGACUGUAAGGUAGACUUCCAACUCACUAGGGCUUUCGCAAGAGUAAACAGAUACCCCGUAGUUGAACGACGUUUAUCUAAAUCACCAGCAAAGUCGGAAUCAACAUAUCCAACUACAAAUUGACCAAGUGCUUCAUCCUGUUCAAAAAUUAAACCAACAUCUACGGUUUUUCGAAGAUACCGUAGAAUCCAUUUCACAGCUUGCCAAUGUCCUUUUCCAGGAUCAUGCAUAUACCUGCUCACAACUCCAACAGCUUGUGAAAUGUCAGGCCUCGUACACACCAUCGCAUACAUCAAACUCCCAACUGCAUUAGCAUAUGGGACUUUCGCCAUAUAUUCUCUUUCAUCUUCAGUCUUCGGAGAUAAUUGAGCACUAAGUUUCAAAUGAGAAGCAAGUGGGGUACUUACAUGUUUUGUGUUUUCAUUUACACCAAAACAUUAUAAUACCUUUUUCAGAUAUUGCUUCUGAUUUAAACAGAGCUUGCCUCUCGGUCUAUCUCUACUUAUCUCCAUGCCGAGAAUCUUCUUGGCCUCACCUAGAUCUUUCAUCUCGAACUCUUGAUUCAACUGAGCCUUCAGCUUAUCUAUCUCUUUUUGGCUCUUCGAAGCGAUUAACAUAUCAUCAACAUACAAGAGUAGAUAAAUGAAAGAUCCGUCAUGCAGCUUCUGCAAAUACACACAAUUGUCAUAUUUGCUUCUUGUGUACUUCUGCCUUCUCAUAAAGCUAUCAAAUCGCUUGUACCACUGCCUCGGGGAUUGCUUCAAUCCAUAUAGCGAUUUGUUCAGCUUACAAACCCAAUUUCUACCACCAACAUCUAUGUAUCCUUCGGGCUGAGUCAUAUAGAUCUCCUCUUCUAACUCACCAUGCAAGAAAGCCGUCUUAACAUUAAGUUGAGCUAGCUCCAAAUUCAACUGUGCUACCAAGGCCAACAAAAUUCUAAUGGAGGAAUGCUUCACAACAGGGGAAAAUACAUCAUUGUAGUCAAUUCCCUCCUUCUGAGCGUAGCCUUUAGCUACCAAUCUUGCCUUGUAGCGAAUAUCCUUCUUGCUAGGAGAUCCAUCUUUCUUUGCGAAUACCCACUUGCAUCCGAUUGCCCUUUUACCUUUCAGUAAUUACGCCAACUCCCAAGUAUUGUUCUUCCGGAGAGACUGCAUUUCUUCAUCCAUGGCGCUUUUCCAUUUAUCACUUUCUAAGCUUUGCAUUGCUUCUUGAUAAGUGAUAGGAAUAUCAUCAACAACGGGAAGGGCGUAGGCCACCAUAUCAGUAAAUCGAGCAGGUUUACGAAUUUCUCUCCGUGGCCUUGCAACUGCAACUGGUUCUGGUGUACUUAGUGGUUCUUGGGUCAGAACCUCUUCAACCUCUAAUUCCUCUAUUGUGACUGGAGAAUUAGACUUAUUAACUGGGCAAAUCCCCAUCUGCUCAAACUCCACCUGUUUUGGAGUACACUCCACCUGCUGUGGAGUAUUGCUCGUCUGAAUAUCUUUAUCUGCUACCUUUUUCAAUGUGGCAGAUUCAUCAAAGGUAACAUCUCUGCUACAGAUCAUUUUCUUUGUGCUUAAACACCAAAGACGACAUCCCUUCACUCCAGAAGUGAUUCCCAUAAAGAGAGCUUUCUUUGCCCUCGGAUCUAACUUUGACUCCUUCACAUGGUAAUAUGCAGUGGAUCCAAACACAUGUAAGGAAUCAUAAUCUGUAGCCGGUUUUCCAGACCAUACCUCCAUAGGAGUUUUUCUUUCUAGUGCAGAUGAUGGCAAACGAUUAACAAGAUGGCCAGCGUAUGUCACAGCCUCAGCCCAAAAUUACUUGCCCAACCCAGCAUUGGACAACAUACAUCGAACUUUCUCCAGCAAUGUUCGAUUCAUACGCUCUGCCAAUCCAUUCUGCUGUGGUGUAUCCCUAACUGUGAAGUGUCGAACAAUACCAUACUCUUGGCACACAUCGAAGAACAGAUCACUUUUAUAUUCCCCUCCAUUGUCCGUCCUAAGCCGCUUGAUUUUCUUGCCAGUCUGGUUUUCGAUCAUAGUUUUCCAUUUAAGAAAAACUCUAAGCACUUCAUCCUUAGUUCUCAUGGUAUACACCCAAACUCUUCUGGAAAAGUCAUCAACAAAAGUAACAAAGUAGUGUUUUUCUCCCAAUGAAGGUGUCUUGGAAGGCCCCCACACAUCUGAGUGAACAUAUUCCAAAAUACCUUUUGUAUUAUGGAUAGCAGUACCGAAUUUCACUCUCUUUUGCUUUCCCAGAACACAAUGCUCGCAAAAUUUUAAUUUGCAAGCCUUUGCACCUUUCAACAAUCCUUGCUUUGCCAGAAUUUGCAAGGAUUUUUCGCUAGCAUGUCCCAACUUCAUAUGCCACAACUGCAUUGAGUCCAAUUCUUUGUUACCGGAAGCUGUAGCGACUGCUCUAAUAACUGUACUACCUUGGUAGUAAUACAAGUUAUUUUUCCUGAUGCCCUUCAAUAUCACAAGUGCGCUAGAUGUCACUUUCAAAAUCCCAUCUCUCAUAGUAACAACUGAACCAUUGGAUUCCAAGGCUCCCAAUGAGAUGAGAUUUUUCUUCAAACUGGGCACGUACCGAACAUCAGUCAGGACUCUGGUUGAUCCAUCUUGAUUCUUUAAUUGGAUUGAACCUAUCCCAACAGUUUUACAGGCAUUGUUAUUACCCAUAUAAACAACUCCUCCAUUUAGUUCUACUAAAUCAGAGAACCACUCCCGGUUAAGGGACAUAUGAUAGGUACAACCCGAAUCCAAUAUCCACUCAUCUGAAUGGAACGACGAUGAUGAUGCAACCAGUGAUAGUUCAGAGUCACUAGUAUCAUGCUUAGCAACACAAGCAUCUACAGUAGCUUUUCCCUUAUUCUUCAGCUUUGGACAAUUUUUCUUCCAGUGGCCUUUCUCAUGACAAAAAGCACAUUCAUCUUUCCCGAGUUUGGACUUUGACUUUGAUCUCUCCUUUUGAGUUUUCUUCCGAGUGUAUGAACGACCUCGGACUACUAAAGCUUCUGUAUCUCUGAUUGAGUUUUUCUGUUUGUUCUUCUUUCUCUGUUCAUAACUGUAUAAGGCCGCACAGACUUCGCUCAGAGAUAUAUCACUCCUGCCAUGAAGUAGAGUAGUUUCUAGGAACUCAAACUCCUAAGGAAGUGACCCCAACAGCAUCAAAGCCAAAUCUUCAUCUUUGAAUGUCUCAUCCAUAUUCAGCAAAUCAGUGACUAACUGAUUAAAUUUGGUGAUGUGAUCAUUCAUUGUGGUACUUGGGACGUAUGUGAAGCGAAACAGUCUUUUCUUCAAGUGGAGCUUAUUUUGACUGUUUUUCUUCAAAAAAUUUUCUUCAAGUGCCACCCACAACUUAUUUGCAGAAGUCUCCUUUGAAAAAGCAUACAUCUGCUCUCGAGAAAGGCAUGAUCGAAUUGUGCCACAUGCCAACCGAUUGAUCGCCUUCCAAUCUUUCUCCUGUACAUCAUCUGGUUUCUUUUCAUCAAUGGCAAUGUCUAGACCCUGCUGAAAAAGGGCAUCUAGAACCUCACUUUGCCACAUACCAAAAUGGCCCGUGCCAUCAAAGAUCUUCACGGCCAAUCUUGCAUUUGCAAUUGUCGGUCUUGUCCACAUGGACGAUGUUGAAGCUCCUACACCGACCGUUUUCUCCAUAAUCUUUCAAUAUACCUAAGGAAAUCUUUUCUGAUGUGGAAGAUCAGUUCAAACUGCAACCACAGAGCAUACUACGAUUAACCUUCGGCUCUUGAUACCACUUGUUGUUCCAAUAGGGUCGGAAGCGUGUAAAUUAUUGUACUAAAAAAUCACACAAAGUUCAAUUCCCAGGGAAGAGAGGUGGAUCACAUGGAUCUCUUAAAUACCAAGUCUUUCCUUAGACAGAAUAUCCCUUCUAUAGUAAUUUAAUAGCACAAUUAAAUACUACUAUUAUACCCUCAAAUAUUGAAAGAAAAAUAGGACAAGAAAGAACACAAGAGUUUUAACGAGGUUCGGUAAAUUAUACCUACGUCCUCGGGCACUAACACCAGAUGAUAACUUUACUAUCUCCAAAGUAUUACAAACAAAUAGAAUUCCUUAAGAAUUCUCAAAUGGGAGAAGAGAGAAAACUAAGAGAGAAAGAUUGGUUGGGAUGAAUUGAAAUGAGAAAUGAGAAGGCCUAUUUAUAGUUGAGGUUUAAGGACCAAACAAUAAAUAGCCCAUUAUCUCAAGGACCAAAAAAAUUUAUCCCUUGCCACUUUUCCAAAGUUGGUGGUUGUCAUUAUUGAUUGUCUCCCAUUAAUGUUAAUGGCAACCAUUAUUAAUUGUCUUCCAUUAAUGUUAACAUUAGAUAUCUAAAUAAGGUGAUAGGGUUAUGUAGGUUAAAUUGGGAGCUAAAAAUGUACAUACUGGCUGAAACUGAUGCCCAGGUUACUACAUCAAAACACCGAUGUCGCAACACCAAAGAAAGAAGCAAAAAGAAGUAUUAGAACAAAAUUGCCUAUUGUGUCGCGACACCGACCUAUGUUGCAACAUGUGAGGUGGAUGUUGCAACAAGGCUUCUGUGCGUUGAAAUAGUAGAUCUAAAGAAGAACUAGAGUGAAGCAUUAUCGAGCUACCAAGCAGAGAUGAUAAAGAAUCUUCAAGAUUAUUUACCGAAGUUGAAAUUAAACAUCUUGUUUCAUGCCCAG